rnacentral:rRNA from 1 species
UCGAGAAUUUUUCACAAUGGGGGAAACCCUGAUGGAGCGACGCCGCGUGGGGGAUGAAUGGCUUCGGCCCGUAAACCCCUGUCAUUUGCGAACAAACCUUUCCAUUUAACAGACGGAAAGCUGAUUGUAGCGGAAGAGGAAGGGACGGCUAACUCUGUGCCAGCAGCCGCGGUAAUACAGAGGUCCCAAGCGUUGUUCGGAUUCACUGGGCGUAAAGGGUGCGUAGGUGGUCAGAUAAGUUUGAUGUGAAAUCUCGGAGCUUAACUCCGAAACUGCAUUGAAUACUAUUUGGCUGGAGGGUCGGAGGGGGGACUGGAAUUCUCGGUGUAGCAGUGAAAUGCGUAGAUAUCGAGAGGAACACCAGUGGCGAAGGCGAGUCCCUGGACGACUCCUGACACUGAGGCACGAAAGCUAGGGGAGCAAACAGGAUUAGAUACCCCCGUAGUCC